rnacentral:tRNA from 2 species
GGACGCUUAGCUCAGUUGGCAGAGCAGCGGACUCUUAAUCCGCGGGUCCAGGGUUCGAGCCCCUGAGCGUCCACCA